rnacentral:rRNA from 1 species
UGCCAGUGAUAAACUGGAGGAAGGUGGGGAUGACGUCAAGUCAUCAUGGCCCUUACGACCAGGGCUACACACGUGCUACAAUGGCAUAUACAAAGAGAAGCGACCUCGCGAGAGCAAGCGGACCUCAUAAAGUAUGUCGUAGUCCGGAUUGGAGUCUGCAACUCGACUCCAUGAAGUCGGAAUCGCUAGUAAUCGUAGAUCAGAAUGCUACGGUGAAUACGUUCCCGGGCCUUGUACACACCGCCCGUCACACCAUGGGAGUGGGUUGCAAAAGA